UCCUCUCACAUUCGGUGCAUGACCAUAAAAGAUGUUACUCAUAGAAAUAGAACAACCAUUAUUCUCAGACUUAAAAGAGCAACCGUCUCGCAAUAAACAAGAUCGAGAUAUAAUGUUCAUGCUCAACGCAGGCACUAAAUAACAAUGAUUUAAGUUCAUCACUAAUCCCGAUGCUAGCUGAAGUGACACUGUGCCGACGGCGAUUGCAUCAACCUUGGAACCAUUUCCUACGCGCAUCGUCACUUCGUAUUUCGCCAGCCUUCGUCUAUUCCGCAGUUCCUGUUUCGAGUUGCAAAUGUAAGCAACAGAACCGGUAUCGAAUACCCAAGCACUACUACGAGAGCCGGUUAAGUACACAUC
rnacentral:lncRNA from 1 species